AAUAGAUACCCAGGUAGUCCCAGCCGUAAACGAUGCUCGCCAGGUGUCAGGCAUGGCGCGACCGUGUCUGGUGCCGCAGGGAAGCCGUGAAGCGAGCCACCUGGGAAGUACGGCCGCAAGGCUGAAACUUAAAGGAAUUGGCGGGGGAGCACAACAACGGGUGGAGCCUGCGGUUUAAUUGGACUCAACGCCGGACAACUCACCGGGGGCGACAGCAAUAUGUAGGCCAAGCUGAAGACUUUGCCUGAAUCGCUGAGAGGAGGUGCAUGGCCGUCGCCAGUUCGUACUGUGAAGCAUCCUGUUAAGUCAGGCAACGAGCGAGACCCGUGCCCACUGUUACCAGCAUGUCCUCCGGGAUGAUGGGUACUCUGUGGGGACCGCCGAUGUUAAAUCGGAGGAAGGUGCGGGCCACAGUAGGUCAGUAUGCCCCGAAUCUCCCGGGCUACACGCGGGCUACAAUGGAUGGGACAAUGGGUCCCUCCCCGUGAAAACGGGCUGGUAAUCUCACAAACCCAUUCGUAGUUCGGAUCGAGGG
rnacentral:rRNA from 1 species